rnacentral:rRNA from 1 species
CCUACGGGAGGCAGCAGUAGGGAAUCUUCCACAAUGGGCGAAAGCCUGAUGGAGCAACGCCGCGUGGGUGAAGAAGGUCUUCGGAUCGUAAAACCCUGUUGUUAGAGAAGAAAGUGCGUGAGAGUAACUGUUCACGUUUCGACGGUAUCUAACCAGAAAGCCACGGCUAACUACGUGCCAGCAGCCGCGGUAAUACGUAGGUGGCAAGCGUUAUCCGGAUUUAUUGGGCGUAAAGGGAACGCAGGCGGUCUUUUAAGUCUGAUGUGAAAGCCUUCGGCUUAACCGGAGUAGUGCAUUGGAAACUGGGAGACUUGAGUGCAGAAGAGGAGAGUGGAACUCCAUGUGUAGCGGUGAAAUGCGUAGAUAUAUGGAAGAACACCAGUGGCGAAAGCGGCUCUCUGAUCUGUAACUGACGCUGAGGUUCGAAAGCGUGGGUAGCAAACAGGAUUAGAUACCCGAGUAGUC